rnacentral:pre_miRNA from 1 species
AGUGGGAUUGCUGGGUCAUAUGGUGGUAGUUCUAUUUUUAAUUUUUGAGGAAACUCCAUACUGAUUUCUAUAAAUAGCUUCACCAGUUUACAUUCCCAUCAGUAAU